UUAGUUAAUCUGAAAGUGUUAAAACUAACAUGGUAUCAGAGCUAUAGGCUAGAUCAACUUUCAGAUUUUAGAAUUUAGUACUCCUUUAUUUCCAGAUUGUUGUCACAUUUACAGGUCGGGUCAAUGGGGCUGAAAGUUGAAGAUAGGCUUGAUGGGAAUCUCAAUUUUACUGCAUGGAAGGUUCGAAUCAAGUUGGCUCUAGAGGAAGAAGAUCUUCUCCAAUUCAUAGAAGCGAAAGAGCUAACUGAACCUACGGAUGCAGCUGAGCUAAAACAAUUCAAAAAGGAUGUUGUCAAGGCCAGGAAGAUUCUCAUUGAUUCAGUCAAAGACCAUCUAGUCACCUCUAUUGCCUCAUUUACUACUGCAAGGGAAAUGUUCAGCCAUCUACAAGGUACAUAUGAAGUUAACAAUCUCAGUAGGGCAAUUACUUUAAGACAACAACUACUUAAUAUCAAAAUGGCAAAAGAAGAUUCUAUUAUUACCUACUUUAUGAGAAUUUCAGAACUAAAGAAUCAACUAGGUUUAAUUGGUCAUAACAUGGAAGACAAAGACCUUGUCAUGAUCGCCCUAAAUGGUCUACCUCACUCAUGGGAGUCAUUUAUCCAAACCAUAAGUGGCAUAACUGAGUUACCUACCCUUGAUCGCCUUAAGAAUGAUUGCAUCCAAGAAGAGUCUCGCCUCAUCACAAGAGGGCAAACCAAAAGUCCCAUGUAGAUGAUCAACACAUGCUUGUAGCCCAAUGCAAGAAAGAGGGAAAUUGGAAGAAGCCUUAUCCAAAAAGAAAUAAGGCAUUCAGACCAUUUAGUUCUCAGCACCUCUGGAAGAAACCAAGAGAUACCUCGCGUGUCCGAUGCUUUAGAUGUGACAAAUUUGGUCACUAUGCUAAAGAAUGUCAGAAUAACCCUACCCAAAGAGAAGCCAACCUAAAUGAAGUCUGAGAACAAAAUGAUGACUUCUUAUUCAUCUCCGCUCUGUCUAGCAGUAUUCCUACAGAUAGUAAUACAUGGUUGAUUGACAGUGGUGCUUCCAGACACAUCAUAGGCUACUGUGAUCAUCUUUCAGACUUAGUAGAAAAGGAUACCAGCCUUCACGUGGUAAUCGGUGAUGACGCUCGUUAUUCGGUAAGAGGUUCUGGCUCUACUUUAAAUUUAGACUCUGGUAUUAAUCUGCACCUUAGUGAUAUCUUGUUUGUUCCUAGAAUUAAAAGAAACCUAAUUUCCAUUUCUGCUCUAGAAGAUAAAGGUUAUCAAAUUGCAUUUUUUGAGGGAAAAGUUCUUGCUUGGCCUAAGAAAUCUAGUUUUAAAUCUGCUCGUAUAAUCAGUCAUAGAUAUGAUAGUCUUUAUAAGCUCUCUACUAACCCUAUUCAAGCCCUCAUUAAUGAGGCUCUUGAAUCUUGUGAGCUAUGGCAUAGAAGACUUGGACACUUGCAUUAUCAAGCUCUUCCCUCUCUUGAAAAGUUAGUCAAAGGUAUGCCCAAACUCAGUCAAAUUCAUGAUAAUACUUGCAAAGGUUGUGCUAUAGGUAAAAAUGUUAAAAGUCCUUUUUAUAAAAGUGAAAAUAGAGCUAAAGACAAACUAGAACUUGUUCACUCUGAUUUAUGUGGUCUUGUGUCUAUAGCAUCUCCUAGUGGAUUUCUUUAUUACGUAAUCUUCAUAGAUGAUUUCUCUAGGAAAACUUGGAUCUACUUCUUGAAAUCUAAAGAAUCUAAUGAAGUCUUAAGUAAAUUUAAAGAGUUUAAGGCAUUAACUGAAAACUCCUUUGGUAAAAGAAUUAAAUGUCUAAGAUCUGACAAUGGAGGUGAGUACACCUCCGGUAGCUUUCAUGACUUUUGUGUUGAGUUAGGAAUUAAGAGGGAGUUUUGUGUUCCAUACAAUCCUCAACAAAAUGGAGUUGUUGAAAGGAAGAAUAGGACUAUUGUUGAGGCUGCGAAGGCUAUGAUUCACGAUCAAGAUUUGCAGACCUUCCUAUGGGCUGAGGCUUCUAGAUCAGGAGUGUAUAUCCAGAAUAGAUGUCCUCACCGUGUUCUAAAGAACAUGACCCCUGAAGAAGCCUUCACAGGAUCCAAACCAGACAUCAGUCACCUCAGAAUUUUUGGAAGUCCCGUUUAUGUUCAUGUGCCCAAGGAAAAGCGAUCCAAGUUGGAACCCUCCGGAAAGAAAGGCAUGCUAGUUGGCUACAGUGAAUCCUCCAAGGCAUUCAAGAUAUACAUCCCGGGUCAAAGGUAUGUUGAGGUAAGUAGGGAUGUUACAUUUGAAGAAGAUAUUGCUUUUAAGAAAUCAAAAGGUUCUUGUGUUAUUGAUGAAGCUAAUGACAAUCAAGAUAUGAAUGUCGAUACUAACCCUGAGAUUCAGAGGGAGCUGGUUGAACCUCCACCUCAAGAUGAACAUCAUGAUCCACCAGAGCCCAUGAAUCCCACUGAUAUUCCUAGUGACAUUGCCAUUACCAAAAAGAGGCCUCUUUGGGUAAGAAACACCAUUCAAGAAGCCGAAAGAUUUGCUACUCCCAGUAGCACCUUCUGUGAAACUAAGAGACCUCAAGUAUUCUCCAACUACGUUGCAUUGAUGUGCAAUUUCAUCGAAACUGAACCUUGCAAUGUUGAAGAAGCCUUUAAUCAUCAUGCUUGGAAGCUUGCUAUGGAUGAAGAGUAUCAGUCAAUCAUCAAGAAUGAUGUUUGGGAUAUUGUGCCCAGACCCAAAGGUAAAUCUGUUGUUUCCUCUAAAUAGUUAUUUAAAAUUAAACAUAAUGCUGAUGGUAGUAUUGAAAAAUAUAAGGCUAGAUUUGUAGCUCGUGUUUUUUCUCAAAAGGAAGGCAUAGACUAUGAAGAAACUUUUGCUCCUGUUGCUAGAUAUACUUCUAUUAGAACGAUAAUAGCUAUUGCUGCUGCUAGAGGUUGGAAACUACAUCAGAUGGAUGUUAAGACUGCCUUCCUUAAUGGUGUCAUUGAGGAAGAGGUCUAUAUUGAACAACCUUGGGGUUAUGAGAUUUAGGAUAGAUUAACUCAUGUGUGCAGGUUGAAGAAAGCUCUGUAUGGUCUUAAACAAGCUCAUCGUGCUUGGUAUGAAAGAAUUGAUAAAUACUUGUUAAGUCUAGGUUUUUAUAAAAAUGAUGUUGACUCUAACGUAUACUUUAAGUUAGCCAAUGAUGAAAUGCUAAUUCUUGUUCUAUAUGUGGAUGACUUAUUUUUUGGUAAAGAUGAACUUAUUGUUAGAUGCAAGGAAGAACUAGCUUCAGAAUUUGAAAUGAAAGACUUAGGUCUAAUGCAUUAUUUUCUAGGUCUAGAAGUAUGGCAAAGAUCUAACGAAAUUUUUCUAAGUCAAGGAAAGUAUACUAUUGACAUUUUGAAAAGAUUUAGAAUGAUGGAUUGUAAACCUAUGUCUACUCCUAUGGAAUCUAACUUAAAGAAGUUAAGUGUCUCUGCAGUUAACUUUGAUUUUGCAGAUCCAUCAGAGUAUCGGCAGUUGAUUGGAUCACUAAUGUAUCUAGUUAACACUAGACCAAACAUAUGUUUUGCUGUGAAUGCUCUCAACCAGUUUAUGAGCAUGCCCAAACAUGUUCAUCUUGUUGCAGCCAAGCACAUCCUAAGGUACUUGCGAGGCACAAUUGGUUUUGGGCUGAAGUAUCCACUUAACACUUCAAUAACCUUGGAAGGUUAUUCAGAUGCAGACUGGGCUGGAAGCGUCAAAGACAGGAAAAGUACCUCUGGUAUUUCCUUUAGCUUGGGAUCCGCAGUGAUCUCUUGGGCUUGCAUAAAACAAUCCUCAGUGGCAUUGAGUACUGCUGAAGCUGAGUAUAUUGCAGCAAGUGUAGCUUCUAGAGAAGCUGUGUGGCUUCGUAAGCUUCUUGCUGGGCUAUUUGGUCAGCCUUGGGAUCCUACAGUUAUUCAUUGUGAUAAUCAGAGUUGUAUCAAAAUGUCUAUCAAUCCAGUGUUUCAUGACAGGUCAAAACAUGUGGAAACCCAUUAUCAUUUCAUUCAGGAUAUGGUGCAAAGAGGUGCUAUUCAGCUGAAGUACGUCAGCACUGAUGAGCAGGUUGCAGAUAUUCUCACCAAGCCUCUAUCCAAAGUGAAGUUUGUGUACUUCAGGGACAGACUUGGUAUUGUGGAAAAUGAAACCCUAAUUGAGAGGGAGUCUCAAUCUCAGUGAUACAUUGUGUUGUAUCAAACCACCCUCUGCGGGCAAUGUAAGGUGGUAUUGUAAUCUUCUCAGGGAGAAGUGUAAUUAUUAACCAUCCUCUGCGGGCAAUGUAAGAUGGUAUUGUAAUCUUCUCAUGGAGAAGUGUAAUUAUUAACCAUCCUCUGCGGGCAAUGUAAGAUGGUAUUGUAAUCUUCUCAGGGAGAAGUGUAAUUAUUAACCAUCCUCUGUGGGCAAUGUAAGAUGGUAUUGUAAUCUUCUCAGGGAGAAGUGUAAUUGUUGACCAUCCUCUGCGGGCAAUGUAAGAUGGUAGAAAAGAUCCUCUCCACCCUCUGCGGGCAAUGUAAGGUGGAUCCAGUCUAUGCUUGUGUGCAAGCUGGAAGAUUAUAUUAUGUAAUUCCAUUCUUUGCUUGUGUGCAAGAUGGAAGAUUAUAGUUAUGUUCUCCUCCCUAAUUAAGAGGGAGUGUCGAUAUUAAUUAGGGAAUGGUGGAUUCCAAUUGCCUUGGGCAACAUUGGAAUCCUCCCAAAAGGGCUGGGCCCUUUCCUCAAACGUGUAGGGCAGAGCCCUAUCCUCACGGCAACCUUAAACUUCGCCUCACAAACCUAAAACACUCAACGUGCUGCUAAUAGGGCCGACCCUAUUCAUAAGGCAUUUAAGAAAACAAAUAUAAUUAAAGUUAAUUAUAAAGGAAGCCGACCUAUCCAAAAGGGUUUCGCUCCUCAUAUAAGUAAAGGUAAGAACUCAUUAUUAUUUACUCAAUUCAGUCUACUCUUUCAUUCAUGCGAAACCUACAUGCCUGCCUAAAUGCGAACUUCAGGGAGACACAUGAUAUGUGCACUUACAGCAAUCUGCCGUUAGGAGGUGCGAAAUACAUGACAUGUGCACUUACAGCAAUCUGCCAUUAGGAGGAGGUGCGAAAUCCAUCAUAAGGAGUCAGUGAAUUCCUUGAAGGUCUGCAAUCUAGGUUAAGGGAACAGCAGCAUCCAUCUCUCAUAUGACAGCAAGUGAAUGUUGAAGGCAGCCACCUCGAUCUGUCAUACCUCCUGUAACAGCAACAUCUGAACCUACAAACACAUGAGAUAAGUGUUGUAAUGUUUGCAUAACUAUAAUCCAUAAUCAGAUCUGAGGAUCUUUUCUGGUUGGGUUUUUCCUUCUAGGAGGUUUUCCCAGGGUAACUGUGCUUGUUUCUAUUUCAUUCUCUUCUUUGCUAUGUUUAAAAUCUGAAACAAUAAAUCUCUAAUCUAAUUAAUCAGUAAACAAAUUCUGAUUUUCUGAGUUUUAGUUAAUCUGAAAGUGUUAAAACUAACAAGCCCAACUUUAUUCAAUCUUUGCAGUACUUGCAAGUUCAUUCACACAGAAAGGCUUUGUUAAACCUAAUUAUUGUGCAAAUGCUGUGCAAGAAAUCAGGUGCCAUUUGGCAACAAGUGAUGGUGGAGUUUUCCGUGCAAAUUCAAAUUUUAAUUCCUUCCAAAUGUGGCGUGGGGGUUUUGAGCACCCAAAUUGAUUUCUUAUGGGGAGUCUUUAUGUCGCUGAUGCAACUGGUAAAGCAAUAUGGCAGAAGCAGAAUAGAGGGAAGUCCUUUGAAGAGACUAUGGAUGCUAUAAAUCGGAAGAAAGCUGAGAGGUUAGAUAGUACACA